rnacentral:rRNA from 1 species
GUCCACGCCGUAAACGAUGAUAACUAGCUGUCCGGGCUCAUGGAGCUUGGGUGGCGCAGCUAACGCAUUAAGUUAUCCGCCUGGGGAGUACGGUCGCAAGAUUAAAACUCAAAGGAAUUGACGGGGGCCUGCACAAGCGGUGGAGCAUGUGGUUUAAUUCGAAGCAACGCGCAGAACCUUACCAGCCUUUGACAUCCUAGGACGACUUCUGGAGACAGAUUUCUUCCCUUCGGGGACCUAGUGACAGGUGCUGCAUGGCU